rnacentral:rRNA from 1 species
AUGACGCGGGCUGGACCUCUCGGGGUUACAGCCUUGCUGAAUUAUUCACCCUUGUCUUUUGCGUACUUCUUGUUUCCUUGGUGGGUUCGCCCACCACUAGGACAAACAUAAACCUUUUGUAAUUGCAAUCAGCGUCAGUAACAAAUUAAUAAUUACAACUUUCAACAACGGAUCUCUUGGUUCUGGCAUCGAUGAAGAACGCAGCGAAAUGCGAUAAGUAGUGUGAAUUGCAGAAUUCAGUGAAUCAUCGAAUCUUUGAACGCACAUUGCGCCCUUUGGUAUUCCAAAGGGCAUGCCUGUUCGAGCGUCAUUUGUACCCUCAAGCUUUGCUUGGUGUUGGGCGUCUUGUCUCUAGCUUUGCUGGAGACUCGCCUUAAAGUAAUUGGCAGCCGGCCUACUGGUUUCGGAGCGCAGCACAAGUCGCACUCUCUAUCAGCAAAGGUCUAGCAUCCAUUAAGCCUUUUUUUCAACUUUUGACCUCGGAUCAGGUAGGGAUACCCGCUGAACUUAAGCAUAUCAAAAGCCGGAGGAA